UACGGAGGGAGCUAGCGUUGUUCGGAAUUACUGGGCGUAAAGCGCACGUAGGCGGCUACUCAAGUCAGAGGUGAAAGCCCGGGGCUCAACCCCGGAACUGCCUUUGAAACUAGGUAGCUAGAAUCUUGGAGAGGUCAGUGGAAUUCCGAGUGUAGAGGUGAAAUUCGUAGAUAUUCGGAAGAACACCAGUGGCGAAGGCGACUCACUGGACACGUAUUGACGCUGAGGUGCGAAAGCGUGGGGAGCAAACAGG
rnacentral:rRNA from 1 species